AUUGAACGCUGGCGGCGGGCCUAACACAUGCAAGUCGAGCGGAACGGCGGACGGGUGAGUAUUGCUUAGGAAUCUGCCUCGUAGUGGUGGAUAACGUCCGGCAACGGGUGCUAAUACCGCAUACGAUCAGUCGAGCCUAGGUCGGAUUAGUUAGUUGGUGGGGUAAAGGCCUACCAAGGCGACGAUCCGUACCUGGUCUGAGAGGUGGAUCAGUCAGACUGGACCUGAGACACGGUCAAAACUCCUACGGGGGGCAGAGGUGGGGAAUAUUGGACAAGGGGCGAAAGCCUGAUCCAGCCCUGCCGCGUGUGUGAAGAAGGUCUUCGGAUUGUAAAGCACUUUAAGUUGGGAGGCGUUACCAACAGAAUAAGCACCGGCUAACUUCGUGCCAGCAGCCGCGGUAAUAC
rnacentral:rRNA from 1 species